rnacentral:rRNA from 1 species
CCGCCGGCGACCGGCGCACGGGUGAGUAACACGUAUGCAACCUGGCCGUGACAGAUGGAUAACCGGGAGAAAUCCCGCCUAAUACAACAUAAUGCCGGGAGGGGACAUCCCCUGCCGGCCAAAGGGGCGACCCCGGUCACGGAUGGGCAUGCGGCGCAUUAGGUAGUUGGUGGGGCAACGGCCCACCGAGCCGACGAUGCGUAGGGGUUCUGAGAGGAAGGUCCCCCACAUUGGAACUGAGACACGGUCCAAACUCCUACGGAAGGCAGCAG